UACGUAGGGACCGAGCGUUGUCCGGAAUCAUUGGGCGUAAAGAGCGUGUAGGCGGCCUGUUAAGUCUUGCGUGAAAUCUCGGGGCUCAACCCCGAGCGGUCGUGAGAAACUGGCAGGCUAGAGUGCGGGAGAGGAGAGUGGAAUUCCUGGUGUAGCGGUGAAAUGCGCAGAUAUCAGGAAGAACACCCGUGGCGAAGGCAGGUCUCUGGGCCACUACUGACGCUGAGAAGCGAAAGCAUGGGGAGCGAACAGG
rnacentral:rRNA from 1 species